UGGCUGAGCGGUAAAGCGCAAGGCUUCCAAACCGGAGGUCCCGGGUUCGAAUCCUGG
rfam:Biomphalaria glabrata isolate BB02 unplaced genomic scaffold LGTN_random_Scaffold1045, whole genome shotgun sequence.